rnacentral:rRNA from 1 species
AUUGAACGCUGGCGGCAGGCCUAACACAUGCAAGUCGAACGAGUGGCGGACGGGUGAGUAAUGUCUGGGAAACUGCCCGAUGGAGGGGGAUAACUACUGGAAACGGUAGCUAAUACCGCAUACCAUCGGAUGUGCCCAGAUGGGAUUAGCUAGUAGGUGGGGUAACGGCUCACCUAGGCGACGAUCCCUAGCUGGUCUGAGAGGAUGACCGGCAAAAUGGGAAUUGAGCCACGGUCCAGACUCCUAGGGGAGGAAGAAGGGGGGAAUAUUGAACAAGGGGCGCAAGCCGGAUGCAGCCAUGCGGGGUGUAUGAAGAAGGCCUUGGGGUUGUAAAGUACUUUCAGCGAGGAGGCGUUCCUCGCAGAAGAAGCACCGGCUAACUCCGUGCCAGCAGCCGCGUAAUUC